ACGUAGGGUGCAAGCGUUGUCCGGAUUUACUGGGCGUAAAGGACGCGUAGGCGGUUCGUUAAGUGUGAAGUGAAAUCUCCAGGGCUCAACCCGGAAACUGCUUUACAUACUGGCGGACUGGAGGGAUGCAGAGGUAAGUAGAAUUCCUGGUGUAGCGGUGAAAUGCGUUGAUAUCAGGAGGAAUACCGAUGGCGAAGGCAGCUUACUGGGCAUCAUCUGACGCUGAGGCGUGAAAGCGUGGGUAGCAAACAG
rnacentral:rRNA from 1 species